rnacentral:rRNA from 1 species
GGGGUAACCUGCGGAGGGAUCAUUACACAAAUAUGAAGGCGGGCUGGAACCUCUCGGGGUUACAGCCUUGCUGAAUUAUUCACCCUUGUCUUUUGCGUACUUCUUGUUUCCUUGGUGGGUUCGCCCACCACUAGGACAAACAUAAACCUUUUGUAAUUGCAAUCAGCGUCAGUAACAAAUUAAUAAUUACAACUUUCAACAACGGAUCUCUUGGUUCUGGCAUCGAUGAAGAACGCAGCGAAAUGCGAUAAGUAGUGUGAAUUGCAGAAUUCAGUGAAUCAUCGAAUCUUUGAACGCACAUUGCGCCCUUUGGUAUUCCAAAGGGCAUGCCUGUUCGAGCGUCAUUUGUACCCUCAAGCUUUGCUUGGUGUUGGGCGUCUUGUCUCUAGCUUUGCUGGAGACUCGCCUUAAAGUAAUUGGCAGCCGGCCUACUGGUUUCGGAGCGCAGCACAAGUCGCACUCUCUAUCAGCAAAGGUCUAGCAUCCAUUAAGCCUUUUUUCAACUUUUGACCUCGGAUCAGGUAGGUCCCCGGUUCCC